rnacentral:rRNA from 1 species
GAGGCACUACGGUGCUGAAGUAACAAAUGCCCUGCUUCCAGGAAAAGCCUCUAAGCAUCAGGUAACACGAAAUCGUACCCCAAACCGACACAGGUGGUCAGGUAGAGAAUACCAAGGCGCUUGAGAGAACUCGGGUGAAGGAACUAGGCAAAAUGGUGCCGUAACUUCGGGAGAAGGCACGCUGAUAUGUAGGUGAAGCCCCUGCGGGUGGAGCUGAAAUCAGUCGAAGAUACCAGCUGGCUGCAACUGUUUAUUAAAAACACAGCACUGUGCAAACACGAAAGUGGACGUAUACGGUGUGACGCCUGCCCGGUGCCGGAAGGUUAAUUGAUGGGGUUAGCGGCAACGCGAAGCUCUUGAUCGAAGCCCCGGUAAACGGCGGCCGUAACUAUAACGGUCCUAAGGUAGCGAAAUUCCUUGUCGGGUAAGUUCCGACCUGCACGAAUGGCGUAAUGAUGGCCAGGCUGUCUCCACCCGAGACUCAGUGAAAUUGAACUCGCUGUGAAGAUGCAGUGUACCCGCGGCAAGACGGAAAGACCCCGUGAACCUUUACUAUAGCUUGACACUGAACACUGGUCCUUGAUGUGUAGGAUAGGUGGGAGGCUUUGAAGCGUGGACGCCAGUCUGCGUGGAGCCGCCCUUGAAAUACCACCCUUUAAUGGCUGGUGUUCUAACGUAGACCCGUGAUCCGGGUUGCGGACAGUGUCUGGUGGGUAGUUUGACUGGGGCGGUCUCCUCCCAAAGAGUAACGGAGGAGCACGAAGGUUAGCUAAUCCUGGUCGGACAUCAGGAGGUUAGUGCAAUGGCAUAAGCUAGCUUGACUGCGAGAGUGACGGCUCGAGCAGGUGCGAAAGCAGGUCAUAGUGAUCCGGUGGUUCUGAAUGGAAGGGCCAUCGCUCAACGGAUAAAAGGUACUCCGGGGAUAACAGGCUGAUACCGCCCAAGAGUUCAUAUCGACGGCGGUGUUUGGCACCUCGAUGUCGGCUCAUCACAUCCUGGGGCUGAAGUAGGUCCCAAGGGUAUGGCUGUUCGCCAUUUAAAGUGGUACGCGAGCUGGGUUUAGAACGUCGUGAGACAGUUCGGUCCCUAUCUGCCGUGGGCGCUGGAGAAUUGAGGGGGGCUGCUCCUAGUACGAGAGGACCGGAGUGGACGCAUCACUGGUGUUCGGGUUGUCAUGCCAAUGGCACUGCCCGGUAGCUAAAUGCGGAAGAGAUAAGUGCUGAAAGCAUCUAAGCACGAAACUUGCCCCG